AUACGUAGGGGGCGAGCGUUAUCCGGAAUUAUUGGGCGUAAAGAGUACGUAGGCGGUUCUGUAAGCGUGAGGUGAAAGCCCGGGGCUUAACUCCGGUAAGCCUUUCGAACUGCAGGACUUGAGUGCUGGAGGGGAAAGUGGAAUUCCUAGUGUAGCGGUGAAAUGCGUAGAUAUUAGGAGGAACACCAGUGGCGAAGGCGACUUUCUGGACAGUAACUGACGCUGAGGUACGAAAGCGUGGGGAGCAAACAGGAUUAGAUACCCUGGUAGUCCACGCUGUAAACGAUGAGCACUAGGUGUCGGGCUAGCAAUAGUUCGGUGCCGCAGUUAACGCAAUAAGUGCUCCGCCUGGGGAGUACGCACGCAAGUGUGAAACUUAAAGGAAUUGACGGGU
rnacentral:rRNA from 1 species